AGUGAACGCUGGCGGUAGGCCUAACACAUGCAAGUCGAACGGCAGCACAGUAAGAGCUUGCUCUUACGGGUGGCGAGUGGCGGAUGGGUGAGGAAUACAUCGGAUUCUACUUUUUCGUGGGGGAUAACGGAGGGAAACUGCCGCUAAUACCUCAUACGACCAACCGGUGGAAUCAGGGGUUCUUGGUACCUUUCGCGCACGAAUGAGCCGACGUGGGAUGAGCUAGUUGGCGGGGUAAAGGCCCACCAAGGAGAGGAUCCGUAGCUGGUCUGAGAGGAUGACCGGCCACACUGGAACUGAGACACGGUCCAGACUCCUACGGGAGGCAGCAGUGGGGAAUAUUGGACAAUGGGCGCAAGCCUGAUCCAGCCAUCCCGCGUGGGUGAAGAAGGCCUUCGGGUUGUAAAGCCCUUUUGUUGGGAAAGAAAAGCAGCAGGUUAAUACCCCGAUGUUCUGACGGUACCCAAAGAAUAAGCACCGGCUAACUUCGUG
rnacentral:rRNA from 1 species